GCGAAUGGGUGAGUAACGCGUUGGUGACCUACCCCAAAGAGAGGAAUAACUCCGGGAAACUGGAGCUAAUACCCCAUGUGGUUGCCAGGGUUAGAGGCCUGGUAACUGAAGGAGCAAUCCGCUUUGGGAGGGACCUGCGUCCCAUCAGCUAGUUGGUAGGGUAACGGCCUACCUAGGCUACGACGGGUAGGGGGCCUGAGAGGGUGGCCCCCCACACUGGCACUGAAACACGGGCCAGACACCUACGGGUGGCAGCAGUAGGGAAUAUUGCACAAUGGGCGAAAGCCUGAUGCAACAACGCCGCGUGCGCGAUGAAGACCUUCGGGUUGUAAAGCGCUUUUCUGAAGGACGAGGAAGGACGGUACUUCAGGAAUAAGGAUCGGCUAACUACGUGCCAGCAGCCGCGGUAAUACGUAGGAUCCGAGCGUUAUCCGAAUUUACUGGGCGUAAAGCGCGUGCAGGCGGUUUGAUAAGUUGGAUGUGAAAGCUCCCGGCUCAACUGGGAGAGGCCGUUCAAAACUAUCAGACUCGAGGACGGUAGAGGGAGGUAGAAUUCCCCGGUGUAGUGGUGAAAUGCGUAGAUAUCGGGAGGAAUACCAGUGGCGAAGGCGGCCUCCUGGACCGUUCCUGACGCUCAGACGCGAAAGCUAGGGGAGCGAACGGGAUUAGAAACCCCGGUAGUCCUAGCUGUAAACGAUGCAAACUUGGUGUUGGUGGGGUAAAAUCCGCCGGUGCCGAAGCUAACGCGAUAAGUUUGCCGCCUGGGGACUACGGCCGCAAGGGUU
rnacentral:rRNA from 1 species